GCUUGAAGGGUCAUAACUUAGUGGUCAGGAUAUCUGCUCUGCAUGCAGAAGGCCCCAGGUUCAAUCCUUGGCCUCUGCA